GAAAAUUCUUCCCAUUGGCGGGGUAUUUUUUCAAAUCCUUAAUUUUUAUUGCACAUAAUAGUUCUGAUUGUGUCAUAGAUUCCUGCUCCAAUAAUGGCAUGUCCAGCAUACCUAUAUUCUGUGAAUUCUUUGAAUGUAAUAUUUUUGAAUUAUUUACCAAGUGAUGUAGGCUCUGUAGUCCAACUAUAUAAAUUUUUUAUUGUCUUCUAUUUGUUAUGAUUGAAAGCUAUUUCAUCUUUACUUUUUGGCUCUGCUUUUUAGUUGUCACCCGUUAUAUGUAUAUUGAGAACUUCAAUUCUUGUGAAAUAAUCAGGUUAAGGAGAAAACAAUAGCAG
rnacentral:misc_RNA from 1 species